AAAGAAACUAACAAGGAUUCCCUUAGUAACUGCGAGUGAAGAGGGAAAAGCUCAAAUUUAAAAUCUGGCAGUGCUUCACUGUCCGAGUUGUAACCUAGAGAAGUGUAACCUGCGCUGGACCGUGUAUAAGUCUCCUGGAAUGGAGCAUCACAGAGGGUGAGAAUCCCGUCUUUGACAUGGACUACCAGUGCAUUGUGGUUUCGCUCUCAACGAGUCGAGUUGUUUGGGAAUGCAGCUCUAAAUGGGUGGUAAAUUCCAUCUAAAGCUAAAUAUUGGCGAGAGACCGAUAGCGAACAAGUACCGUGAGGGAAAGAUGAAAAGAACUUUGGAAAGAGAGUUAAACAGUAUGUGAAAUUGUUGAAAGGGAAACGUUUGAAGUCAGUCGCGUUGGUUGGGGAUCAGCCUAACAUUGUUGGGUGUACUUCCUGGUUGACGGGCCAACAUCAGUUUUGACUGCCAGAAAAAGGCCAAAGGAAUGUGGCACCUUGGGUGUGUUAUAGCCCUUGGUCGUAUAUGGUGGUUGGGACUGAGGAAAGCAGCGUGCCGAAAGGCCGGGUUUCGACCACGUUCACGCUGAGGAUGUUGGCAUAAUGGCUUUAAGCGACCCGUCUUGAAACACGGACCAAGGAGUCUAACAUGCAUGCGAGUGUUUGGGUGGAAAACCCUUACGCGUAAUGAAAGUGAAAGUUGAGAUCCCUGUCGCGGGGAGCAUCGACGCCCGGACCAGAACUUUUGGGACGGAUCUGCGGUAGAGCACGUAUGUUGGGACCCGAAAGAUGGUGAACUAUGCCUGAAUAGGGUGAAGCCAGAGGAAACUCUGGUGGAGGCUCGUAGCGAUUCUGACGUGCAAAUCGAUCGUCAAAUUUGGGUAUAGGGGCGAAAGACUAAUCGA
rnacentral:rRNA from 1 species